rnacentral:rRNA from 1 species
CCCUUAGAUGUUCUGGGCUGCACGCGCGCUACACUGAUGCACUCAUCGAGUUUAUGACCUUGUCCGAGAGGAUUGGGUAAUCUUCUUAAAAUGCAUCGUGAUGGGGAUAGAUUAUUGCAAUUAUUAAUCUUCAACGAGGAAUUCCUAGUAAGCGCGAGUCAUCAGCUCGUGCUGAUUACGUCCCUGCCCUUUGUACACACCGCCCGUCGCUCCUACCGAUUGGGUGAUCCGGUGAAUAAUUCGGACUGCAGCAAUGUUUGGAUCCCGAACAUUGCAGUGGAAAGUUUAGUGAACCUUAUCACUUAGAGGAAGGAGAAGUCGUAACA